GACGAACGCUGGCGGCGUGCUUAACACAUGCAAGUCGAACGGAAAGGCCCUGCUUUUGUGGGGUGCUCGAGUGGCGAACGGGUGAGUAACACGUGAGUAACCUGCCCUUGACUUUGGGAUAACUUCAGGAAACUGGGGCUAAUACCGGAUAGGAGCUCCUGCUGCAUGGUGGGGGUUGGAAAGUUUCGGCGGUUGGGGAUGGACUCGCGGCUUAUCAGCUUGUUGGUGGGGUAGUGGCUUACCAAGGCUUUGACGGGUAGCCGGCCUGAGAGGGUGACCGGCCACAUUGGGACGGAGAUACGGCCCAGACUCCUACGGGAGGCAGCAGUGGGGAAUAUGGCACAAGGGGCGGAAGCCGGAGGCAGCAACGCCGCGUGCGGGAUGACGGCCUUCGGGUUGUAAACAGCUUUCGCCUGUGACGAAGCGUGAGUGAAGGUAAUGGGGAAAGAAGCACCGGCUAACUACGU
rnacentral:rRNA from 1 species